rnacentral:tRNA from 2 species
UCUUAGAUGACUGAGAAAUAGUGCUAGACUUUUAAUCUAGAGACAGCAUUUAUAUUGCUUCUAAGAA